GCCGCUGUAGCUCAGUUGGUAGAGCAGCGGACUUUUAAUCCGUAGGUCGUGGGUUCGAGCCCCACCGGCGGCA
rnacentral:tRNA from 1 species